rnacentral:rRNA from 1 species
GACGAACGCUGGCGGCGUGCCUAAUACAUGCAAGUCGAGCGGACUUUCAAGAAGCUUGCUUUUUGAAAGUUAGCGGCGGACGGGUGAGUAACACGUGGGCAACCUGCCUGCAAGACGGGGAUAACUCCGGGAAACCGGGGCUAAUACCGGAUAAUAUCUUCCUUCGCAUGAAGGAAGGUUGAAAGGCGGCGCAAGCUGCCGCUUGCAGAUGGGCCCGCGGCGCAUUAGCUAGUUGGUGAGGUAACGGCUCACCAAGGCGACGAUGCGUAGCCGACCUGAGAGGGUGAUCGGCCACACUGGGACUGAGACACGGCCCAGACUCCUACGGGAGGCAGCAGUAGGGAAUCUUCCGCAAUGGACGAAAGUCUGACGGAGCAACGCCGCGUGAGCGAAGAAGGUCUUCGGAUCGUAAAGCUCUGUUGUCAGGGAAGAACAAGUACCGUUCGAACAGGGCGGUACCUUGACGGUACCUGACCAGAAAGCCACGGCUAACUACGGG